rnacentral:tRNA from 2 species
CGCGGGGUGGAGCAGUUCGGUAGCUCGUCGGGCUCAUAACCCGAAGGUCGUGGGUUCAAAUCCCACCCCCGCCA